GAGCCCUGGUAAAUAAGGUGGGAGAGGAGCCCUGGUAGAUAAGGUGGGAGAGGAGCCCUGGUAGAUAAGGUGGGAGAGGAGCCCUGGUAGAUAAGGUGGGAGAGGAGCCCUGGUAGAUAAGGUGGGAGAGGAGCCCUGGUAGAUAAGGUGGGAGAGGAGCCCUGGUAAAUAAGGUGGGAGAAGAGCCCUGGUAAAUAAGGUGGGAGAAGAGCCCUGGUAAAUAAGGUGGGACAGGAGCCCUGGUAAAUAAGGUGGGAGGGGCUGUAGAAGGACAGGAGACCUGGUAAAUAAGGUGGGAGAAGAGCCCUGGUAAAUAAGGUGGGACAGGAGCCCUGGUAAAUAAGGUGGGAGAAGAGCCCUGGUAAAUAAGGUGGGAGAGGAGCCCUGGUAAAUAAGGUGGGAGGGGCUGUAGAAGGACAGGAGCCCUGGUAAAUAAGGUGGGAGAGGAGCCCUGGUAAAUAAGGUGGGACAGGAGCCCUGGUAAAUAAGGUGGGAGGGG
ensembl:lncRNA